AUGGAGGACCUACCAGAGGCUCUGGUGACAGAGAUUCUCAACAGGAUCACCAGGACAAGUGAUCUCAAUUCUCUUUCCCUUGUGUCAAAGCAGCUCUACAAGAUAGAGGGGAAUCAGAGGGGUGCUAUCCGUGUUGGUUCCGGCCUUUGCACCGCUACAAAAGCACUGACAUCAUUGUGCGCCCGCUUCCCAAAUCUGCGGAAAGUGGAAAUCGAUUACUCUGGUUGGACACCUGGACAUGGAAAGCAGCUGGACAACAAAGGCCUUUCUGUGUUUUCUUUAUCUUGCUGUUCCUCGCUGGUUGACCUCACCUCAUGCAUCGAUGACUCUGGGCUUGGUUGCUUAGCGAAUUGCAAGAAAUUGGUGUCUCUCAGGCUGAACUCCACACCACAAAUAACUUCGAUUGGGCUUUUCUCGGUUGCAGUUGGUUGCACAAGUCUAUCUGCUCUCCACCUUAUUGGCUGCGAGAAAAUCGACAGUGUGGAGUGGCUGGAAUACCUUGGUAGGGAUGGAUCAUUGGAAGAGCUUGUAGUGAAGAAUUGCAAAGGAAUCAAUCAUCAUGACUUCAUAAAGUUUGGUUCAGGAUGGAUGAAGCUCCAGAAGUUUGAGUUUGAGGGCAACAGAGGAGGAUAUGAUAGUCUUACAGAUGAUGUGGUCUAUGACUCCUCGUACGAUGCUCACAGCAUGGAUUUGUAUGAUUUCUACUGUGAGAGUUUGAAGGAUUUAAGGUUGGCACGUAUUAAAACUUGGCCGGAAGUAGGACUUCGUGUUGUCCUAGGGAAAUGUAAAGCAUUGGAGAAGCUUUGCCUUGAGUAUGUUUCUGCCCUAAAUGACAAUGACAUGAUUGCAUUAUCUCGGAGCUGCAGCAACCUUAAAAGCAUCUCACUUUGGCUCAACCUGCAGCACUACUCUAGUGAUGUCAGCUAUUGUGAAACCAGGACGUCAUUUACUGAUAACAGCCUUUACACUCUAGCCCUAAACUGCCGUAUGCUUCAGAUGGUAGACCUCAGCUUUACAGGAUGUUCCCCUGACUGGCCAUCAGAAAUAGGAUUCACACAGCAGGGUUUUCUGGCACUCAUUCAGUCCUGCCCGAUUCGUGUUCUUGUGCUAAAUACCGUCAACUUCUUUGAUGACGAGGGGAUGAAGGGCCUCUCAUCCUACCACAUCUGGAGACACUUCAGCUUAUAUUGUGUCAUGCGGUAA
rnacentral:rRNA from 1 species